CCUCUCACUCACUCUCUAUUUUAAAUUCUCACGUAUAUUUCACCGAGUUCCCAUUUUAUUAUCGUACAUUGCUUAUGACUUCUCACUUAACUUCUAUUCGCCAGUACAGAGUUAACAACUCAUAUCAAUUUCGUUAGCGCUCGUAUUAGUACCAUAUAUACAUACUAAUAAAAAUCCGGCCGUAUAUGUUACUCGUAAACGGUAAUAGAAAGAAUUAAAAAAAGGUAAAAAAAUGUCAGGCGUCAGCCAAGGACACCACCGAGACGAAUAAGUUUCGACAACCUUCGAAUUUUUUCUUCCCUUUAUACUCACACUCGAUACUAAAUUUCGCUUUGAAGAUUCCAUAAGAAACUUUAACUAACUAUACAUACGGACGCUUUCUCCAGGGAAGAUAUUACUUCAAAUUAAUUAUUACUUUCGGCAUAAUCGCCGGUGUAAUUUCACAAAGUGAUUUAUUGCUAUCCGAAAUCCGAGCGAUGAUAACAUAGUUAAUAAGUACUGGCUGGUGCUGCUUGAUGAUAUGAUGUGGAGCGAGAAUACAUGUACUGUGACCUCGAUAUAUAUUAGGCAAAUGCGGAAAUUGUACCCAAGAACCCGGGUCUGUAUGCAAAUCUAUUGGAACUGUACCGUAAUCUCGUUACAGGGCCGUGAACUCGGUGGCAUUUCUAUUAUAAUACAAAAUCAUCUGAUCCGUAUAUAAUGUAGGAUCUACUCUAGACUUUUUUUUCUUAAUAAAAAGUCUUCAUUUUUU